rnacentral:lncRNA from 1 species
UGUGUGUGUGUGUGUGUGUAGCAGAGGAGAGUUAAUAACAAUGCAAUAGUUCCCUAGUGUCACCACACACCCCACCGAGGGCUGAUGAACAGGACACACACACACACACACUCCCCGCCGAGGGCAGAUGGUACACUGUCUUCUGUUUCCCAAAACAUUCUCAUCAAGAUCUGUUUCCUUCUCUCCCAGUCAGGCCUUUCUGUCCUUUCUGUUUUGGAUGUCAUUUUCCCCUCAGGUUGAAGGUAUGAUAGUAUGAUGUACAACUCUCCCCUCAGGUUGAAGGUAUGAUAGUAUGAUGUACAACUCUCCCCUCAGGUUGAAGGUAUGAUAGUAUGAUGUAGAACUCUCCCCUCAGGUUGAAAACAAACCUACAAGGUGACUAACAUGUCUGUGUCUGGUAGCUGGUGUGUAUGUGUCUUUGAGCCACUUCCUGUAUUGGGCAUCUGGCGGAGAGCUAUACUGUUAUUGGAGGACAGGAGAAAAGGGGAGAGAAGGGAGGAGAGGAGAGGAGAUGAGGGGGAGGGAGGAGAGGAGAGGAGGAGGGGAGGGAGGAGAGGAGAUGAGGGGGGAGGAGAGGAGAGGAGAUGAGGGGGGAGGAGAGGAGAUGAGGGGGGAGGAGAGGAGAUGAGGGGGAGGAGAGGAGAUGAGGGGGAGGAGAGGAGAGGAGAGGGAGGAAAGGAAAAGAGGGUGAAGAGGAGGGAGAAGAAGGGAGGAGAAAAGAAGAUAUUGAGGGUUGAGAAAUAAUCCUCCAUAACUCUCCAAGGACAUAACUGGUUUCAUUAGCAUCCAGGAGGAGGUUAAU